rnacentral:rRNA from 1 species
CCUACGGGAGGCAGCAGUGAGGAAUAUUGGACAAUGGAGGCAACUCUGAUCCAGCCAUGCCGCGUGCAGGAAGACGGCCCUAUGGGUUGUAAACUGCUUUUAUACAGGAAGAAACGUUAGUACGUGUACUAGCCUGACGGUACUGUAAGAAUAAGGAUCGGCUAACUCCGUGCCAGCAGCCGCGGUAAUACGGAGGAUCCAAGCGUUAUCCGGAAUCAUUGGGUUUAAAGGGUCCGCAGGCGGUCUAAUAAGUCAGAGGUGAAAUCCUAUCGCUCAACGAUAGAACUGCCUUUGAUACUGUUAGACUUGAGUUAUUGUGAAGUAGUUAGAGUGUGUAGUGUAGCGGUGAAAUGCAUAGAUAUUACACAGAAUACCGAUUGCGAAGGCAGAUUACUAACAAUAUACUGACGCUCAGGGACGAAAGCGUGGGUAGCGAACAGGAUUAGAUACCCUGGUAGUCCACGCCGUAAACGAUGGUCACUAGCUGUUUGAUGCACAUUGGUGUGUUGAGUGGCUAAGCGAAAGUGAUAAGUGACCCACCUGGGGAGUACGCUCGCAAGAGUGAAACUCAAAGGAAUUGACGG